rnacentral:miRNA from 1 species
CAUUGCACUUAAUAGUGGGGCU